AGUACGAAAGAUACAUUUUACAAGCUCACAAAAGUAGCAGAACAAGUUCCUUUUCUGGAUUUCUAAAGUUGUCUUCAUUGUAAAAUAAUCUGAUCGACCAUAUUUAUUAUCUUUUCGAAAGAAAUUUGAUAAGUGCAAGCUGGUAUAAAUAGCAAUCAGGUAAUAUGAACUUUGACAACGGGGAGUGAACUGUAAAAUUUAUCGUUUUAAACGUAAGCCUUCUCAUUUCUCUGGGACUUUUUUCAUUAGCUUGCCAGGAAAUCCUGUUUAGAUCAGACAUUUCUGAAUUUAUACAAGCAACAGCACAAACUAAGCUACUGAUAAAACAGAGUAGGUGUACUGUAUGAAGUGAACAAGUUGAAAAUAAAUGUGUCAUAAUCCACACAGGACAUUCACUACUUCAAUACCAGAGUAAUAAAAUGACUUUCUGGAGUUCUUGUUUCCAGUUUUCAAUUGUCAAAAGCAGAAGCUAAGAUAGAAAACUUUCCUUAAAGCCACGAGUGUCAUAAGAGCACAAAAAAGUUAGUAAUUAGUAAAAUUAAGAAAGGCAAAGGUCAUAGCUGAUAGGAAACAGUAUGACAUGGGAAACAUUACAGGCCACCUGCCUUUUCGCAGUUAGGACUUUUACUAAACCUCAAAAUGUUUUUUUUCUUCUGCAGCUGGUGGGCUUCAGAUUAAUGGUUCUCAAGGUCCAAUGUCCUUAACUUUUAGGCAUCUCUCUGCUCCAAAUUUCCUCUGCAUGCCAUCAAGUGCUGCAGAAGCCUGUCAAUCACCCAUUUAUUUCAGUCACCAGUCAGGCGUGUGGCAGCAGAAACCUCCUAAAUCAUGCAGGAUAAUGAAUCUUGAACCACUUUGGAUCAUUCUUCUGCUGCACGACUCAGUUGAAAUUAAGGUCAUGAAAUGGUCUCCAGGUAUUUUCCUUCAGUAGGGAGCAGAACUCUCAGGUCCAUUUAGGGCGAGUCAUGCAGCCCCAGACCAUCACAUUUGCACCACUUUUGACGUGAUGAUGUUCUUUUCUUUUUUCAGUUGUAUUCCAGAAGUAAUGGGAUUCGUAUCUUCCAAAAACGUCCACUUUUGGAAGUUGGGAUGUUUUCCCUAAGGUUUCUUCAUCAAGGGGGUUCUGAAAUAUGUGAAGCAUGUCUCUGUGAUCUUUUUGGUGAACAGUGGUUUUGGUGUUCUUAACUUUGAAUGGUGACCGUGUCACUGAGUUUGAGGUUCUGCAGCGUUUCUUGUUUGCUCCAUUCAUAAAUAAUGGCUCUCACUGAGGUUCGAUGGUAUGCCAAAUAGAUGAACCCUCCUCAGACGAACAGACGCCAACCACUUUGUUUUCAUUUGUUUUUGGAUUUUCGUAGAUGGGAUAAAUAUGUUCUGCUUUUUAAAAAAAAUAUAUUAUAACCUACUUCAUGCUGUCAGACAGGAUCUAUUGAAGAGAUUUCUUGUCUGAAUUAAAGCUUUUCAGAAAGUCCAUCUAAUCUUUGUUAAAUUAUAAAUUACCAAAAGAUUACUAUCACAACUUCACAUAGGAGUAGGUGGACGUGGAUAGUUUUCCUACAUAAUAAAUCAAUUUAUAAUUUUAAAAUUGCUGUUUGUAUGUACUGAGGCUAAGCUAAUUACUGAGACCUGAAAUCUUUUAAACAGAAACAAAAGUGAGCUGAGACCAACCUAGUUACUGUCAUUUGAUAGAGAAGUUGACACUGUGGGCAAAAGAGAAAAAAAGCUGCCGGAGUUGUUGCUCUCGCUUCUCACACCACCCUCUUUUACUUCAUGGUGCAGACGUGCUGCACUUGGGUUUAGAGAGGCAUAACCGAGGAAGGACGUCAUCUCCAGUUUUCAACGCAAGUUCUUAAGCUAUUGUCUAACGUGCUAAAACUAAAUAUUUACUUAUUUUACUCUGUUCAACCAACAGAACAUCAGAGAUAUAAAACAUAU